rnacentral:rRNA from 1 species
UACGGGGGGGGCAAGCGUUGUUCGGAAUUACUGGGCGUAAAGGGCUUGUAGGUGGCCAACUAAGUCAGACGUGAAAUCCCUCGGCUUAACCGGGGAACUGCGUCUGAUACUGGAUGGCUUGAGUUUGGGAGAGGGAUGCGGAAUUCCAGGUGUAGCGGUGAAAUGCGUAGAUAUCUGGAGGAACACCGGUGGCGAAGGCGGCAUCCUGGACCAACACUGACACUGAGGAGCGAAAGCCAGGGGAGCAAACGGG